GCGUGACGCAGCAACGCCGCGUGGGGGAAGAAGGCCUUCGGGUUGUAAACCCCUUUCAGGAGGGACGAAGCCCGGGCGGUGAAUAGCCGACUCGGGUGACGGUACCUCCACAAGAAGCCCCGGCUAACUACGUGCCAGCAGCCGCGGUAAUACGUAGGGGGCAAGCGUUGUCCGGAAUCAUUGGGCGUAAAGAGCGUGUAGGCGGUCCGGUAAGUCGGCUGUGAAAGUCCAGGGCUCAACUCUGGGAUGCCGGUCGAUACUGCCGGACUAGAGUUCGGAAGAGGCGAGUGGAAUUCCCGGUGUAGCGGUGAAAUGCGCAGAUAUCGGGAAGAACACCAGUGGCGAAGGCGCUCUGCUGGGCCGCAACUGACACUCAUGGACGAAAGCUAGGGGAGCGAAAGGGAUUAGAUACCCCUGUAGUCCUAGCCGUAAACGAUGGACACUAGGUGUUGCCCGUAUCGACCCGGGCAGUGCCGUAGCCAACGCGUUAAGUUCCCGCC
rnacentral:rRNA from 1 species